rnacentral:rRNA from 1 species
UACGUAGGGUGCGAGCGUUGUCCGGAUUUAUUGGGCGUAAAGGGCUCGUAGGCGGCGUGUCGCGUCGGGAGUGAAAGCCCGCUGCUUAACGGCGGGUUGGCUUCCGGUACGGGCAUCGCUGGAGUGCGGCAGGGGAGACUGGAAUUCCUGGUGUAGCGGUGAAAUGCGUAGAUAUACGGAGGAACACCAGCGGCGAAGGCGGGUAGCUGGGCCAACACUGACGCUGAUGCGCGAAAGCUAGGGGAGCAAACGGG